AUUGAACGCUGGCGGCAGGCCUAACACAUGCAAGUCGAACGGUAACAGGAAACAGCUUGCUGUUUCGCUGACGAGUGGCGGACGGGUGAGUAAUGUCUGGGAAACUGCCUGAUGGAGGGGGAUAACUACUGGAAACGGUAGCUAAUACCGCAUAACGUCGCAAGACCAAAGAGGGGGACCUUCGGGCCUCUUGCCAUCGGAUGUGCCCAGAUGGGAUUAGCUAGUAGGUGGGGUAACGGCUCACCUAGGCGACGAUCCCUACCUGGUCUGAGAGGAUGACCAGCCACACUGGAACUGAGACACGGUCCAGACUCCUACGGGAGGCAGCAGUGGGGAAUAUUGCACAAUGGGCGCAAGCCUGAUGCAGCCAUGCCGCGUGUAUGACGAAGGCCUUCGGGUUGUAAAGUACUUUCAGCGGGGAGGAAGGGAGUAAAGUUAAUACCUUUGCUCAUUGACGUUACCCGCAGAAGAAGCACCGGCUAACUCCGUG
rnacentral:rRNA from 1 species